rnacentral:rRNA from 1 species
GACGGACGCUGGCGGCGUGCCUAAUACAUGCAAGUAGAACGCACAGUUUAUACCGUAGCUUGCUACACCAUAGACUGUGAGUUGCGAACGGGUGAGUAACGCGUAGGUAACCUGCCUGGUAGCGGGGGAUAACUAUGGGAAACGAUAGCUAAUACCGCAUAAUAUUAAUUAUUGCAUGGUAAUUAAUUGAAAGGUGCAAUUGCACCACUACCAGAUGGACCUGCGUUGUAUUAGCUAGUAGGUGAGGUAACGGCUCACCUAGGCGACGAUACACAGCCGACCUGAGAAGGUGGUCGGCCACACUGGGAAUGAGACACGGCCCAGACUCCUACGGGGGGCAGCAGUAGGGGAUCUUCGGCAAUGGACGAAAGUCUGGCCGGGCAACGCCGCGUGAGUGGAGAAGGUUUUCGGAUCGUAAAGCUCUGUUGUAAGGGGAGAACGGGUGUGGGAGUGGAAAGUUCACACUGUGACGGUAUCUUACCAGAAAGGGACGGCUAACUACGUG